rnacentral:rRNA from 1 species
AGUGAACGCUGGCGGUAGGCCUAACACAUGCAAGUCGAACGGCAGCACAGUAAGAGCUUGCUCUUACGGGUGGCGAGUGGCGGACGGGUGAGGAAUACAUCGGAAUCUACUUUUUCGUGGGGGAUAACGUAGGGAAACUUACGCUAAUACCGCAUACGACCUACGGGUGAAAGCAUGGGAUCUUCGGACCUUGCGCGAUUGAAUGAGCCGAUGUCGGAUUAGCUAGUUGGCGGGGUAAAGGCCCACCAAGGCGACGAUCCGUAGCUGGUCUGAGAGGAUGAUCAGCCAAACUGGAACUGAGACACGGUCCAGACUCCUACGGGAGGCAGCAGUGGGGAAUAUUGGACAAUGGGCGCAAGCCUGAUCCAGCCAUACCGCGUGGGUGAAGAAGGCCUUCGGGUUGUAAAGCCCUUUUGUUGGGAAAGAAAAGCAGCAGGUUAAUACCCCGCUGUUCUGACGGUACCCAAAGAAUAAGCACCGGCUAACUUCGUG